rnacentral:rRNA from 1 species
UGGGGAAUUUUUGGACAAUGGGCGAAAGCCUGAUCCAGCAAUGCCGCGUGUGUGAAGAAGGCCUUCGGGUUGUAAAGCACUUUUGUCCGGAAAGAAAUCCUUGGCUCUAAUACAGUCGGGGGAUGACGGUACCGGAAGAAUAAGCACCGGCUAACUACGUGCCAGCAGCCGCGGUAAUACGUAGGGUGCAAGCGUUAAUCGGAAUUACUGGGCGUAAAGCGUGCGCAGGCGGUUUGCUAAGACCGAUGUGAAAUCCCCGGGCUCAACCUGGGAACUGCAUUGGUGACUGGCAGGCUAGAGUAUGGCAGAGGGGGGUAGAAUUCCACGUGUAGCAGUGAAAUGCGUAGAGAUGUGGAGGAAUACCGAUGGCGAAGGCAGCCCCCUGGGCCAAUACUGACGCUCAUGCACGAAAGCGUGGGGAGCAAACAGGAUUAGAUACCCUGGUAGUCCACGCCCUAAAACGAUGUCAACUAGUUGUUGGGGAUUCAUUUCCUUAGUAACGUAGCUAACGCGUGAAGUUGACCGCCUGGGGAGUACGGUCGCAAGAUUAAAACUUAAAGGAAUUGAC